rnacentral:rRNA from 1 species
UACGAAGGGGGCUAGCGUUGCUCGGAAUCACUGGGCGUAAAGCGCACGUAGGCGGACUCUUAAGUCGGUGGUGAAAUCCUGGAGCUCAACUCCAGAACUGCCUUCGAUACUGAGAGUCUCGAGUCCGAGAGAGGUGAGUGGAACUGCGAGUGUAGAGGUGAAAUUCGUAGAUAUUCGCAAGAACACCAGUGGCGAAGGCGGCUCGCUGGCUCGGUACUGACGCUGAGGUGCGAAAGCGUGGGGAGCAAACAGG